rnacentral:rRNA from 1 species
ACGCUGGCGGCAUGCUUUACACAUGCAAGUCGAACGGUAACAGGGAGCUUGCUCCGCUGACGAGUGGCGAACGGGUGAGUAAUAUAUCGGAACGUACCCAAGAGUGGGGGAUAACGUAGCGAAAGUUACGCUAAUACCGCAUACGAUCUAUGGAUGAAAGCAGGGGACCUUCGGGCCUUGUGCUCCUGGAGCGGCCGAUAUCUGAUUAGCUAGUUGGUGAGGUAAAGGCUCACCAAGGCGACGAUCAGUAGCUGGUCUGAGAGGACGACCAGCCACACUGGAACUGAGACACGGUCCAGACUCCUACGGGAGGCAGCAGUGGGGAAUUUUGGACAAUGGGCGCAAGCCUGAUCCAGCAAUGCCGCGUGAGUGAAGAAGGCCUUCGGGUUGUAAAGCUCUUUUGUCAGGGAAGAAACGGCUGUGGCUAAUAUCCACGGCUAAUGACGGUACCUGAAGAAUAAGCACCGGCUAACUACGUGCCAGCAGCCGCGGUAAUACGUAGGGUGCAACCGUUAAUCGGAAUUACUGGGCGUAAAGCGUGCGCAGGCGGUUUUGUAAGUCUGUCGUGAAAUCCCCGGGCUCAACCUGGGAAUUGCGAUGGAGACUGCAAGGCUAGAAUCUGGCAGAGGGGGGUAGAAUUCCACGUGUAGCAGUGAAAUGCGUAGAGAUGUGGAGGAACACCGAUGGCGAAGGCAGCCCCCUGGGUCAAGAUUGACGCUCAUGCACGAAAGCGUGGGGAGCAAACAGGAUUAGAUACCCUGGUAGUCCACGCCCUAAACGAUGUCUACUAGUUGUCGGGUUUUAAUUAACUUGGUAACGCAGCUAACGCGUGAAGUAGACCGCCUGGGGAGUACGGUCGCAAGAUUAAAACUCAAAGGAAUUGACGGGGACCCGC